rnacentral:lncRNA from 1 species
CAUCUCGAGGCCGAUGGUAUUGCACUGCUUCCAUUGCCCUUAAUUUGAUUAUUUGUUAUUUUUGCAAUGCAAUAUUCUUUGUCAUUCAUCCAGCAACUGAUUGCUGGUUGUAAUUUAUGUUCAUCGUCCUCCUAGUUGCUUCCUGUAUAUAGGUAUUCCAAAAAUAUGUACCCUCAGUUUGCGGCAAAUCUUUUUCUUAAUGUUUCAAAAAUUGAUGCUUCCACCUAACAAUAAUAAUGUUUCAAAAUCAUCAGUGAUUUCGCGGUAAUUAGUAUGUAGAUCACACAAAUAUGCUGCCACAUGUUGGCAGCCAUAUUUGUGAAUUUCCAUUUCAAAUUUCCGUGCUUCCAAUUAAGAUUAGAGAUAGCACUAUUUUCAUGCUUAUGAGGUACAAUAUGUGGUUCUUCGAUCGAAAUAAUUUGCCACCAUGGAUACUUGCUUCUUUUCUUUUGUCAUUGUCAUUGUAAUGUAAACAAUGCCCUCGUACUUCCUACAUUUAUCAUAUAUGUUGCUCAAGAUUCCAGUCAAUUUUUUCACAUUACCGAUGUGGCACAUCUAUUUUGCGGAAUUAGACACUAAUUGUAAUGCCCUGCUUCCAUGAUGUACUUCUGUUUUGUUAAUUCAUAUUAAUGUUUUGCCAUUAUAUUUGACAGCAUCUCGUGUUUCAGACUAUUUAUCCUUAAUUUCAGCUCACCCCUAAUCAUCAUAAAGCAUGUCAUAAAAUUGAUGCUUCCAUAUAUCCAUGCUUCCUAAGGAGUAUAUAUUUGUUUCUUCAGUCAACAUAGUUUGCAUCAAUCGAUCCAUGCUUCUACCCUUUUUGUGUCCCUUUGUGUGUGUUGUUUUAAGUGCUGAGGUGUUGUAUUUUUAACAUCGACCCCGUGUUGUCACUGGCUCAGACAUGCUCACUCCGAGAACGCUUGCUAUUGGUAUACUGGUUCCUGAGUUCUCUCGAGACGAGCUUAGCACCGUUGAAUCUAGAGAUUCCAUCCAACGAUCUCACCGGCGUGGUGCAUCAUUGAUCUCAAACGUGCUACCUGCCAGUGUGGUUGGUUCCAGCACUCGGGUCGAGUAAACGUGGCUGCGAUCCAGCGGACACACAAAUCCCAUCGAUCGCCAUUCCUUGCGCCCACCACCUCAUGCAACCGGCCAGCCGUGCUAAUGCUCCACCUCUUUACCAGUGGCACCCAUGUUAGAUGGGAACCUACUUGAAUCUGAACUUGCUUACAGAAAUAUAUGUAAUUGUUGUCUGAAACUAAAUUUCUCUCUUUAGAAGCAUAUUUUGGUUAUGAUUGAAACAGAUGUAAUUGUUGCUUCCCAGAUGUAAUCUGUCCAAGCCGUUUGUUAAUGUUGUAUCCAACAUUGCUCUAUUUUGCUUCCUACUCAUUAGAAUGAUGCUUUU